AGACCCCACAAACCUUACAGACCCCAUAAACCCCGCAGACCCCACAGACCCCACAAACCCCUCCACCCCACAGACCCCACAGACCCCACAAACCCCACAGAGCUCCGUGCUGCACGUCGGGGCCGACCCCAUUUAUUGACCCCAAAACUGCCGAUGGGGNNNNNNNNNNNNNNNNNNNNNNNNNNNNAGACCCCACAGAUGUGGGGUGGGGUGGGGCGCUAUGGGGUGCUAUGGGGCGGUGUGGGGUGCUAUGGGGUGCUAUAGGGUGGUGUGUGGGGCUAUAGGGUGCUAUGGGGUGGUGUAGGGUGCCAUGGCGUGUUAUGGGGUGCUAUGGGGUGGUAUGUGGGGCUAUGGGGCGCUAUGGGGUGCUAUGGGGCAGUGUAGGGUGCUAUGGAGUGCUAUGGGGUGCUAUGGGGCGGUAUGUGGAGCUAUGGGGCACUAUGGGGUGCUAUGGGGCGGUGUAGGGUGCUAUGGGGCACUAUGGGGUGCUAUGGGGUGGUGUGUGGGGCACAAUGGGGUCAAUGGGUCUCAAUGGGUCUCAGUGGGUCUCAGUGGGUCUCAGUGGGUCUCAAUGGGGCA
rnacentral:lncRNA from 1 species